AUCAAAUUAACGUCGACCAAGUUGUCCCCUGAGGGUUAGGCUCUCCAUAUUAGUAUUACUACUCCUAAACCAUGCUCCUUCUAAAACAUUCUCUUAACGUCUGUUGGAGAAUCCAGAAACAAAAUUAGGAGCAGAAAAAUAUGUAGAUAGUUCUUUUGCUUCCCCGAGAAAGAUCCUGGAGAAUUCAGAGCAUUGAAGAGAUGACAGAGUUCAAGAUCGCCUGAAUCCCUCCGAAAGUCUCUCUUCUUCUCACCCGCAUUCUGCCGCUUCCGCGCAAUCCCCCAUCACCCGAACCUCCCUGCUCCCCCCGACCCGCGUCCUGUCUGUCUUGUGGCUCUCUCCUUGGCGCUUUCUCAGUCCCGGGGGCACGGAAGCCUCAGGAGCAUCCGAAUGGGGCCCUCGGAAGGGGCCCCCUCAGGGCGAGCUAGGUUUUGAGUCGAGUUCAGGUUGAGAGGCCGCGGCGGCGGAGCCUCCCUGCACCUGCUAGAGUACGUGGCACGCCGAGGGCCCUCAGCCGGAUCAUCCCCGGGAAGUUCCGGGCGCGGAUCUCUCGGCGUUUUGGGCUGUAGCAGUUUAUUUUUUCCUGCAAGAAGGGUGAUCCUGGACUGAAUUAGCCUCACGCUGAUGCACUGACGAAAGCGAAUGUGUAUGCAUUAAAUAUAUUAGCGAAGAGGCAGGUUUUGUUUUUCGUUGCUUAGCACGUAGUAAUAAUCAGCAUUUAUUUUCCUCUGCCCCCAGACGACUCUAGGGAGGGAAGAAAAGGGGGACUCGGUGUGUCCAUGCGGGGCGGGGUGAAGGAGGGGG
rnacentral:lncRNA from 1 species